AAACGCGUCUCGUUCAUUGAGACCCGCGAACAUCACAAGGUGCUGCGCAGUAGGCCGAGCACAACGAGUAGUGUCUGCGAAGGUGAAACUGCGACGAGUGGGCAUUUUCAGGUUUUCCAUGAUGAUUAAAAGCAAAUUCCAUGACUGCCCCGUCUGCUUGGAAAGCUCUGUGCACUGAAAACAAACCCUCGAGUUGUAAAAAAAAAUCAGGAGCUCCAUAUAUGGAGCGAGAAGAGUUGCGCCCCGAGAAGCCACGACCUGUAGCCCGAA